rnacentral:rRNA from 1 species
CCUACGGGUGGCAGCAGUGAGGAAUAUUGGUCAAUGGGCGGUAGCCUGAACCAGCCAAGUAGCGUGAAGGAUGAAGGCUCUAUGGGUCGUAAACUUCUUUUAUAUAAGAAUAAAGUGCAGUAUGUAUACUGUUUUGUAUGUAUUAUAUGAAUAAGGAUCGGCUAACUCCGUGCCAGCAGCCGCGGUAAUACGGAGGAGGCGAGCGUUAUCCGGAUUGAUUGGGCUUAAAGGGAACGUAGGUGGACUGGUAAGUCAGUUGUGAAAGUUUGCGGCUCAACCGUAAUAUUGCAGGUGAUACUAUAAGUCUUGAGUAUCGGAGAGGAUUGCAGAAUUCGUGGUGUAGCGGUGAAAUGCGUAGAUAUCACGAGGAAUACCGAUAGCGAAGGCAGCAAUCUGGCUUGAAACUGACACUGAUGUGCGAAAGCGUGGGUAGCAAACAGGAUUAGAUACCCUGGUAGUC